CCGGUCGCGCCGACUCUCGUCGCGUAUAGGCGCAAGUGCCGCACGCACACCACGCGUUCAUUGGUCCCACGUGCACCACAGGCACCCGUCCUUAUCCAAGCAACCCCACGUCCUUAUCCUCAUCAACUGUUCAUCCACACAAACCUCAUCCUCUCGCUCGUGUCUCACCUGCCUUGCCUCUGUCUCUCGCUCGUGCCGUUGCAUCCUUGCUCCGGCGAGCCCCACCACUAGCCACGCGAGGAGCUGCAACCGGAGGACGGAGGAGCUGCUACCGGACACUCCGGGAGCUGCAACCGGCGGGCAGAGGAGCUACAAGCCGGGAACUAAACCGACGACCGCCGUGCUGGAUUCAGCGCGCCGGGGUGCUGCAACCGGCAGAUUAAAUAGCUACAACUACCUUUUGUUUUUGCUCGGAUUGGUGAAAAAUUUCGGUGCGACCAUCGACGGUGAGCCUUUUUUUGCUGGAACCGGUUUUCUUUUUUUUUUCUGGAAUCAUGUUUUCGUUUUGUUGGAAUCAUGUCAUGCUUGCUGGUAGCUUGUAGCUCCGGCGAGAGCAACAUAUGCUCGCUGCGGAUAUGCGCGCAGCUCGUGCUCUACCCCAACAGCACGAUGCGUGCAGCUCUGGCGAUGGACAACAUCUUACUGGCGUGCGGCCCUUCCCCAACAGAUGGCUUGUCGCGGAUGAUGAUCUGCACGCUCCACUCAGCUCGCAGGAGAGGGCAACCACCAUCAAAAGAUGCUUCAACCUCGGCGUGGCAGAGCCCAAGUGUAGGUCCGGGAGCUGCAACGAACCAGACAAAUGAUGGAACAUGUGACGACCGUGUUGUGUCGGCGACGGUGCGGUCCACCAUUGCUGGAACCAGCUUCUUUUUUGGCUGGAACUACCAUUAUUUUUUGCUGGAACUUUUUUUUUUUGCUACAAUCAACUAGUGUGUUUGCUGCUGAGUUUUUUUUUUGCUGGAACCAGCAUGUGUGUUUUCUGAAACUGGCUUUUUUGUUUGCUACAAUCGUCUUUCUCAGAUUUGUACUGCUGAGAUUAUUUUUGCUGGAAAUGUCAUCAAUUUUUGGUACCAUCGUAUUCUUGUUUUGCUGGAACCAAUUUAUUUUUCAAGGAUCCAACUUGAUGGUGGUGCGGGUAGUUUUUUUUUUGUGAACUUCGACGGCGAGCAUCGACGGGGAGCACGGCAGUAACUGUCGACGACGAGGGCAAACGGGGUAGGGCAGACACAAGCAACAUGACGUGGUGGCGAGGUGUGGCUGUCAUGUGCUUGUGUUUUUUUUUUCAGAUCUCGUGCACGGUGGGGAAGAAAGAGAUGGACGGUGGAAGGAUCAGACGGCUGAUAGUGGCAGAAUCGUACGGCUUGCGGGUGACCUGCCCAAAUUUGAACCCACGCGCCGGCGCCUAUCUUCGCCCAUUUACAAAGGCUCAUUCAAUGCAUGAGAUGAGCCGGUCGACAAUACCUGUAAACAACUGACGCAACACUGGCAGGUUGCAGCCGGCUGGUAGCUAUAUACGGAACUACGUGGCGUGGAGCAACCGUCGCUCUAACACGAGGAGGUGAAGGCAACAUCCAACACCAGAUGUACAUGAAAAAAAGCAUCAUGUCGAGGAGUGCUCUCACCGAGCUAGUUAAGUUCUCAUCUAUAUUAGCACAUAUUGUUUAAUUAUAGCCAAAAGCUAUUUUUAAAAACCUUUGUCAUCCGAUCGCAAAUCUGGUGGCUCGUUUCUCUUGAUUAUUUAUUUCAAGGUCGAAUCGAACCUACUUGUUUUCUGUGGCUAGUAGAUUUCUCUCGAUCGAACCUGGUUACCAGCGAAGCAAAUAUCCAAAUGAUCCCUCUAUUUUAUUUUUUCAAUUUCCAAAAGCUAGAAUUUCAACUCUUCUUUAUUAGCAUAUUAGAAAGAAAAAGAUUUCUGGUUUCCUGCUUUUAGACUUCACGAGUGUGUACUAUUGGUUACCUUUUUUUGACUUCUUGACUGUGCGUCAUUGACAUCAGUUUUUGGUAAGUACAAGAGUUAUUGGUAAUGGAGAGACGACAAAUCAUCUCGAUAUAGAAUCGGUACCACUCAAUCUCGGUGUUUUGAGGUCAGAGAGUCCGCAGGCACAUAUGUGAUAGCUUCCAUUUCAAGCAACCAUUAUAACUUUGACCCACGGGAAAAAAGUUUCUUCAAAACAUGCCUGGUAAUUUAUGUGUAAAUAGUAUAGUAAUAUAUGUAUCAUAUACCUAAUAAGUUACUCCUUCCAUCUAUAUAGGGCCUAAUGCGUUUUUUAAGACCGUCUUUGACUAUUGAGAAGAUUAAUAGUACAUGACAUGCACAAUGUGAAAAUUAUAUCAUCGAAAGCUCCUUUC
rnacentral:rRNA from 1 species